rnacentral:rRNA from 1 species
GACGAACGCUGGCGGCGUGCUUAACACAUGCAAGUCGAACGGAAAGGCCCUGCUUGCAGGGUCCUCGAGUGGCGAACGGGUGAGUAACACGUGGGUGAUCUGCCCUGCACUUCGGGAUAAGCCUGGGAAACUGGGUCUAAUACCGGAUAUGACCUUCCAUGUAGUGUGGGGGGUGGAAAGAUUUAUCGGUGUGGGAUGAGCCCGCGGCCUAUCAGCUUGUUGGUGGGGUAAUGGCCUACCAAGGCGUCGACGGGUAGCCGGCCUGAGAGGGUGGACGGCCACAUUGGGACUGAGAUACGGCCCAGACUCCUACGGGAGGCAGCAGUGGGGAAUAUUGCACAAUGGGCGGAAGCCUUAUGCAGCGACGCCGCGUGGGGGAUGACGGCCUUCGGGUUGUAAACCUCUUUCGACAGGGACGAAGCUUCGGUGACGGUACCUGUAGAAGAAGCACCGGCUAACUACGUG